AUCCCAUGAUGAGGACAGACGGCAAUGUACUCCUACGAACGCUCCCAAGGUUCUGGUAUGGAUUCAUCCUUCGCCUGUUAGAAGUUGGAAAUCCUUCCGCGAAGGGC
rnacentral:snoRNA from 1 species